GUAACCUCUCCCUCCCCACGCCCCCCUUCAGUUUCUCCUCCAUCCGCAUAUCCCCUCCUGGUUCACACACGCUCACUCAUGCCAUGAUUCGUUUCCCCUUCGUACCAUCUCUGCGCAUGGAGGUGUCCCUAGGAGAGGAGAUCCUAGACGACGACGAGACGCCCCUGCAACAACUAAGGAGGAGCACCAUUUUCUUCCUCACCACCGAAGCAUCGACAUCCUCGCCAUCGAUGGUUUCCUCUUGGUGAGAAACAUCUGCCCCUUCUCUGUGGUGUUGUGAUGUUCACUGUUCAUAGCCUGUUACCAAAUCUCCACCCACUUGUUGAAUCAUAAGAACAAUGUUCUAAUCAUCUUCAUCGUGGCCAGAUUGUAC
rnacentral:lncRNA from 7 species